GCAGUAGCAAGUCACUGCCAGGGACACCCAAGACUCCCUGCAGGACCAGGCAGCAGGGUUCUCCUGCCCCCGGCCCCUCCGUCUCCCAGGACAGCCAGCGGAGCGCCCCCCACCCCUGCUGCCUCAAUCUCCCUGGUCUCUGGGAGUGCUCAUGUUCCCCGAGGACCUGAUGAACUGAAUACCCGUCUCUUCUGGUGAAAAAGCAAAUCCACCAGGGACCGUUGCGAAGGCGCCCCACGUGGGAGCUGGUCCUGGCCACAGACGACCCCUCCCCUG